rnacentral:rRNA from 1 species
GGCGAACGGGUGAGUAACACGUGGGUGAUCUGCCCUGUACUUCGGGAUAAGCCUGGGAAACUGGGUCUAAUACCGGAUAUGACCUUCUCCUGCAUGGGGGUUGGUGGAAAGCUUUUGCGGUACAGGAUGGGCCCGCGGCCUAUCAGCUUGUUGGUGGGGUAAUGGCCUACCAAGGCGACGACGGGUAGCCGGCCUGAGAGGGCGACCGGCCACACUGGGACUGAGACACGGCCCAGACUCCUACGGGAGGCAGCAGUGGGGAAUAUUGCACAAUGGGCGCAAGCCUGAUGCAGCGACGCCGCGUGAGGGAUGACGGCCUUCGGGUUGUAAACCUCUUUCAGUAGGGACGAAGCGCAAGUGACGGUACCUACAGAAGAAGCACCGGCCAACUACGUGCCAGCAGCCGCGGUAAUACGUAGGGUGCAAGCGUUGUCCGGAAUUACUGGGCGUAAAGAGCUCGUAGGCGGUUUGUCACGUCGUCUGU